CCCGUCUGGGAGAGUACGGCCGCAAGGCUAACACUCAAAGGAAUUGACGGGGGCCCGCACAAGCGGCGGAGCGUGUGGCUUAAUUCGACGCAACGCGAAGAACCUUACCAAGGCUUGACAUACACCGGAAACGUCCAGAGAUGGGCGCCCCCUUGUGGUCGGUGUACAGGUGGUGCAUGGCUGUCGUCAGCUCGUGUCGUGAGAUGUUGGGUUAAGUCCCGCAACGAGCGCAACCCUUGUCCCGUGUUGCCAUCACGCCCUUGUGGUGCUGGGGACUCACGGGAGACCGCCGGGGUCAACUCGGA
rnacentral:rRNA from 1 species